CAGAGACCGAUAGCGCACAAGUAGAGUGAUCGAAAGAUGAAAAGCACUUUGAAAAGAGGGUUAAAUAGCACGUGAAAUUGUUGAAAGGGAAGCGUUUGCGACCAGACCUCUCCCCGGCGGAUCAUCCGGCGUUCUCGCCGGUGCACUCCGCCGGGCUGAGGCCAGCAUCGGUUCCCGCGGGGGGACAAAAGCGGGGGGAACGUAGCUCCCUCGGGAGUGUUAUAGCCCUCCGCAUAAUACCCUCGCGGGGACCGAGGACCGCGCUUCGGCAAGGAUGCUGGCGUAAUGGUCGUCAACGACCCGUCUUGAAACACGGACCAAGGAGUCGAACAUUUGUGCGAGUGUUUGGGUGUCAAACCCUCACGCGUAAUGAAGGUGAACGUAGGUGAGAGCCCUCGCGGGCGCAUCAUCGACCGAUCCUGAUGUCUUCGGAUGGAUUUGAGUAAGAGCAUAACUGUUCGGACCCGAAAGAUGGUGAACUAUGCGUGGAUAGGGUGAAGCCAGAGGAAACUCUGGUGGAGGCUCGCAGCGGUUCUGACGUGCAAAUCGAUCGUCAAAUCUGCGCAUGGGGGCGAAAGACUAUCGA
rnacentral:misc_RNA from 1 species